rnacentral:rRNA from 1 species
UACGGGGGGGGCAAGCGGUGUUCGGAAUUACUGGGCGUAAAGGGCUCGUAGGCGGCCAACUAAGUCGGACGUGAAAUCCCUCGGCUCAACCGGGGAACUGCGUCCGAUACUGGAUGGCUUGAAUCCGGGAGAGGGAUGCGGAAUUCCAGGUGUAGCGGUGAAAUGCGUAGAUAUCUGGAGGAACACCGGUGGCGAAGGCGGCAUCCUGGACCGGCAUUGACGCUGAGGAGCGAAAGCCAGGGGAGCAAACGGG